UCAAAAACCCACCCUCACUCGCUCUUAGAGGCUUGGCCAACUGAACUCGAAGCUCUGUCUCUCAUUCUUUGAACAGGACUUUUUUCGGAACAAGCCAAAAUGUCUCGGAAGGGUUUGAUGGAGGAGGACUCCAGUAAAUUGGAUGUGACAAAAAUGACUCCACUCUCUCCAGAAGUAAUCUCACGGCAUGCGACCAUAAAUAUCGGCACUAUAGGUCAUGUGGCGAACGGAAAGUAGACAGUUAUGAAGGCAAUUUCUGGUGUGCAGGUGACUACGACCUUUGCUAUUUAGUUCAAUGUUUAUGUUUUCUUCGAAACUAGAGUUUCAAUCUACCCUAUAUUGGCUUUGAUUGCCGAUAUAAUGAUUAGUUACCAAAUUCAUUUAGGGCUUUAAGUCCCGUUUGGGGAAAACCAAGUAUCAAUCUGCAUUCUAUGGUUAAAAUUGAUUGUGGUCGUAGUCUGUGUAGAGCAAAGGAAAAUUUACUGC